UGGGGAAUAUUGGACAAUGGACCAAAAGUCUGAUCCAGCAAUUCUGUGUGCACGAUGACGGUCUUAGGAUUGUAAAGUGCUUUCAAUUGGGAAGAAACAAAUGACGGUACCAAUAGAAGAAGCGACGGCUAAAUACGUGCCAGCAGCCGCGGUAAUACGUAUGUCGCAAGCGUUAUCCGGAUUUAUUGGGCGUAAAGCGCGUCUAGGUGGUUUGGUAAGUCUGAUGUGAAAAUGCGGGGCUCAACUCCGUAUUGCGUUGGAAACUGCCUAACUAGAGUAUCGGAGAGGUGGGCGGAACUACAAGUGUAGAGGUGAAAAUUCGUAGAUAUUUGUAGGAAUGCCGAUAGAGAAGUCAGCUCACUGGACGAAUACUGACACUG
rnacentral:rRNA from 1 species